rnacentral:rRNA from 1 species
CUCAGAGUGAACGCUGGCGGUAGGCCUAACACAUGCAAGUCGAACGGCAGCACAGGAGAGCUUGCUCUCUGGGUGGCGAGUGGCGGACGGGUGAGGAAUACAUCGGAAUCUACCUUUUCGUGGGGGAUAACGUAGGGAAACUUACGCUAAUACCGCAUACGACCUUCGGGUGAAAGCAGGGGACCUUCGGGCCUUGCGCGGAUAGAUGAGCCGAUGUCGGAUUAGCUAGUUGGCGGGGUAAAGGCCCACCAAGGCGACGAUCCGUAGCUGGUCUGAGAGGAUGAUCAGCCACACUGGAACUGAGACACGGUCCAGACUCCUACGGGAGGCAGCAGUGGGGAAUAUUGGACAAUGGGCGCAAGCCUGAUCCAGCCAUACCGCGUGGGUGAAGAAGGCCUUCGGGUUGUAAAGCCCUUUUGUUGGGAAAGAAAAGCAGUCGAUUAAUACUCGGUUGUUCUGACGGUACCCAAAGAAUAAGCACCGGCUAACUUCGUGCCAGCAGCCGCGGUAAUACGAAGGGUGCAAGCGUUACUCGGAAUUACUGGGCGUAAAGCGUGCGUAGGUGGUUGUUUAAGUCUGUUGUGAAAGCCCUGGGCUCAACCUGGGAAUUGCAGUGGAUACUGGGCGACUAGAGUGUGGUAGAGGGUAGUGGAAUUCCCGGUGUAGCAGUGAAAUGCGUAGAGAUCGGGAGGAACAUCCAUGGCGAAGGCAGCUACC